GCUAUAAGUACGAUUACAAUAAUAGUCUUGUAAACUAAUAUAGAAAGUUAAACUCUUUCAUAUAGCU
rnacentral:tRNA from 1 species